rnacentral:rRNA from 1 species
UAGCCGUAAACGAUACUCGCUAGGUGUCGGCCACGGUGCGACCGUUGUCGGUGCCGUAGGGAAGCCGUGAAGCGAGCCACCUGGGAAGUACGGCCGCAAGGCUGAAACUUAAAGGAAUUGGCGGGGGAGCACCACAACGGGUGGAGCCUUCGGCUUAAUUGGACUCAACGCCGGGAAGCUCACCGGAUAAGACAGCGGAAUGAUUGCCGGGCUGAAGACCCUGCAUGACCAGCUGAGAGGUGGUGCAUGGCGUAGUCGUGU